CUUGAACGACCAGAAAGAGAUUUGGACAAUAUAGCCAGUCUUACUAAAUUGGCGAACGAGUUACAACCGCCAGCGGACCAUGCAUCGAUUGCAUAUGCGGUGGCGAUGGCCAAAUGAAGUGUGAUCCCAAAGUCUGCACACCGGAGCCAAUGCUUCGUCAAAUGAUUGCAUCAGCGAAACGAAGAUAAAACAUUAACUAGGCAGUAUUUACUACAGGACAUUUACACAUCGCACACGUUUAUUUUAACCAAUUUUCAGAACAUAUAUGAAAUGAAAAUGCGCAUAAAUGAAACAAGCAAACAGCAAGAGCAAAAAAAUGGAAAUUAACACAAAAAAAAACACACACACACAUUUUAAAUGUAGCUCCUAGGUCUGAUUAGUCUGUAUAAAUAUAUGAAGCAAGUAUCUAGUAUCUAUUGAUCUGAAAUGAGAGUUAAACAAGAAAAAUAAAACAUACAUAAAGACGUAGCCCGUAGUUUGCCUAGGUCAUAAGGAUAAUUUUACGAAACAAAAAAGAAGAAAAAAUUAAAAUAAUUGAUGAAUGUGACACGCGUAAUGAUUAAAUUAAUAAAAGAAGAAGAAAAAACAACAGCAACAAAGUACGAUAUAAGCAUAAGAAGUAAUUCCAUUUGUUAAGUUAAGCGUAGAGAAAAGGCGAUACGUAUAUUAAAAAAAAAACAAAAAAACAAUUAAAAUAAAUUAAAAAUAAAAGCGAAAUUAAUAAAUAAUCUAUGAUUUAAGAGCGGAUUUAAAACAAUCAAUGAACAAAGCAAGAAUACUUCAAUUGAAAUUUCAUUUAGGUAAAACAAAUAAAAAAAACACUCGUGACAUGCCGUAACGAUAGCUAUUUCAUAAAUUAUGUCAUUUUAUAUUUAAAUGAAAAACGCAAAAAGUGAAAAAAAAACUAUUAAAAAGUAUUUAUUUGGAUAUUAAAAAAAAAGUAAA